ensembl:lncRNA
AGUUUCGUCAGUUGGACAGGAUGUUUGGGUUUCAAAGUUCAUCCUGUGUCUGCCUCUAAAAAACAUACAUUUGUCAACACGUCAACACAAGUGCAUGACAAUGUCAAGGUAGGUUUGUUAUCAGAUUACAACCAUGUAUGUAGCUACACUCAUUGUUAAACGGAGCUAAAGUAAGACGUUUUAUAUCUUUAAGUACCUACCAUGAUACCGCCACAGACCAGGCAUGCAGCUAUUCCUGUAAAUCCACCAUGGCUACUCCCACCUCCAGAGGUUGAUCUACUAGUGUUGGAGAGACUACGGAAAGAUAGGGAGGGUGUUAAUCCAUCUGGAUACUGUGUAUCAGGAUUUUGUGGCCAUUUACACAGAUGGUUUCAAAGAUCCAAGAACACGACAUACUGGGUCAGCAUUUGUAGUGCAGGAACGUAUUACAGAUCAUCUGGCUGUAUAUACGGCUGAGCUGAUGGCCAUACUGUUGGCCUUGCAGUGGGUGGCGGAAGUCAAGCCAGACAGAGUAGUUAUUUGCUGUGAUUGAUGUGAGGUGUUGAUGAGUCAGCAGUCCUUUAGCUCAUGUAGCAGACAAUACCUGCUUUAUGAGGUACUACAAACUCAUGGCACUAUUAGACAGAUGGGUAUACAUAUCAGAUUCACUUGGGUCCCAGUCCAUGUGGGGGUGUAGGGGAAUGAGGCAGUUGAUGUUGUGGCUAAACAAGCACUUAGUAGUUGGGAUGUUAUAGUUUCAAUGAGCAAGGCAGAAGCAAAAAGCCUGAUAUUGACAGUGAUGGUGCCACGAUGGCAGGAGCAGUGGAAUAGAGCUAUGAAGGACAGGGAUUUAUUUCAAGUACAGAGGAAAGUCUGGGACGGGAGGACAGCAUGAAGGGGCAGAAGAGAGAUGGCUAUUUUUACAAGGUUAAGUGUGGGACACAACCGGUUGAAUAAGACUUUAAAAGGGAUAGGAAAACACCCAACAGGAAAGUGUGAUUAUUGCCAGGAAACAGACCAUGGAGCAUGCAUUGCUACAGUAUGGCAGUAUCAGAAGGAAAAGGAGAGGAUGAGAGCUAGUAUGAGGGAGAAGGAGAUACAGGAAAUUAGUUUUAAAAGUAUAUUGAGUAGAACUUCAUUGGUUAUAGUCUCAAAUAUUUUAUAUAUUUUUUAAGAUGAACGGGGCUGGCAGGAUUUAGUUUCUCCCUGUCUCUGGACCACACUCCAGUACAGUCGGUGGCGGUAAUGCAUCAUGACGAUGAAUUGUGAACCGAAGAUAAAGCUUACCGAAGAAGAAGCCCAGGCACGCGCAAAAAGUGGCGCACCAAGUUCUCGCAUCGAUUUUUCUACAUAGUAUGCUGUCGCCACUCUCUUGCGGUAAUUGUUCUACACAUUUUUAAAAGAAACCAAAAGCUUUCAAAAUAUUACGUAUUUUAUCACUAACAGAUGAGAGGACAGCUUAAGUACUUUUCCCGGACAUUACCCCUUCACUACAGUCCGCAUUUCUGUGUCCAGAUUGUAACAAAACAAGUGCAUGGCAAUGUCAAGGUAAGUUUACCCUUACUAAAAAUAAGUGCCGUCAGUGUACAGUAUAACUGAAGAACGCUGUAGUAUAAUUGUAGUUAGAGUGUAGUGUACUGCAAAUACUCCGUCCAAAAUAACACUUUAUUUUUUAAAUUUUACUUUAGUAAUUUUCAAAUCAAAUUUUAUUGGUCACGUGUUUAUCAUAUGUUAUUGCAGGUGUAGCGAAAUGCUUGUUUAUAGCUCCCAACAGUGCAGUAAUAUCCAAAAAGUAAUACCUAACAAUUUCACAACAAAUACCCAAUACAGACAAAUCUAAGUAAAGGCAUGGAAUUAAGAAUAUAUAAAUAUUCUUAUAGACUAAGAUACAGUAGAAUAUAAUAGAAUACAGUAUAUAUAGAUGAGUAAUGCAAAAUAUGUAUUAUUAAAUAACAUUAUUAAAGGAGGGCAUGUAGUUUGCCCUCCCGGUGAUGCGUUGGGCAGAUCGUACCACCCUCUGUUGGUGAGACCUCAUCUCAUUGGUCCAGGAGGUGGGCUUCAGCACUCCUCACCUCAUCUCAGCCAGUCACAUCGAGGUCCACAACUGCGAGCUCAAAAGAAAGCUGGUACAUGCAUCUCCAUUACUGUCUUAAGGCUGCUUACUAUAGGAUGGAAACAGUAUGCAGUUCUUACGUUAACCUAACUUCACUAAUAACACAUUUAUUCAUGUCGUCUAGAAACAGUUAGUAUAAAAAAUGUAAGCCUAGUUGUGGCGGUCAUAGCAUUUUGUCAGCCGGUGAUUGUCAAGCAAAUAACUGCCGGUCUCACGGUAAUUGACCAUUAAUUAACAGCUGAAUUAAAUAGGAAAUAUAUUUUCUACAAAUGAUUUGAGGGAGGACGCACAUGCGGCUAUUCUGUGUUGAGCGGUUAACAGAGAAAUGGGUACUCCUAUGCUUCAUUUAGAGUUAUUAAUGUAACUUUAGUUGUGAUACAAAUGUUGGGCUAUAUGUUUAGAUUUUUAAUACAUUGUAAGGCUGCAUGAUGCGACUCUAAUGAUGAUUUGUAAAAAGUUAGAUGAAAGGCAUGAGCUCUGCUUUGUUUUUUUGUGCAGACUGUACACACUUCAUCAGUCUCUCAUUCACAAUCUGACAAGCACUUGACAAUGCCUCAAAUUACCUGGCUGUAUCACCUUUGUGUGGCCUUAAUCCCCCCCUGCAAAAAUCCAUCCCUUUUGUGCCCUUGGGCUGAAUAUAAUAAUUAUGAUCCCCUUCUCCCCGCUGCAUGCCGAAGCACCUCUCACUCACAUGGCUCUCAGUCACGUGAUCAGGUCUUUCUUACAGGCUACAAGUGAAGACAGACACAUCGGGGAGGCAACUGCGUGCAUCCUUAUCCAAUUCCGAGGCGCAUAUUGAAGAUUUUGGAAGAACUGUCCACAUUUACUUUUUGUCAGCCAACAAGAUGAGUAGGCCUAACGAAAAGCAAAAGCACUAGCCUAUGUCAAUCUACUGUCCCAAAUUAAUACAACCACAAGCAUUCAACAAACUGUUUUAAGCUGUGAGCCUGAUGCAACAGAUGAGAACGGUUAGCUUAAAAUGUUGAUAAACUAUUAGGCAAUUUCUUCACAUUAUAAGUUCAGCAAUGCGCACACAGCAGUAUUACCAGGAAAACACCAUUCUCAAAAGGGACCACAAAUGAGAUUAUGCAUGUAAUGCUUUUAUUAUAAAGGAGCAUUCUUAUCUUCCCCAAACAUGAAACUCACAUGCUGCGUAUGCAUGUCAGGCUCUACACCCUUUGUAAAUCGGAUUAAUUUUAAGAAGUUAUUUUGCCACUUUAGUUGUGAUACAAACCUUCUAGACCUAUGGGCUAGGCUACAUGAGGUGUGAUACAAACCUUAUCAAAACAUAUAGACCUAUGGGCUAGGCUACAUGAGGUGUGUGACUGAUUAGAAAAAGUUGCAAAAAAAAAGCAUGCACUGUUUGCCUUAAGCUGGCCAUCAUUCACAAGCCGUAAUAUAUCAUUCACAGGUGAUAGGCUAAUAUUGUCACCCAUCAGACUAUUUUUGAUUUAAACGUAACAUAUUCUAAAUAAUAUACAGUACCAGUCAAAAGUUUGGACACCUACUCAUUCCAGGGUUUGCCUUGAUUACAGCUUUGCACACUCUUGGCAUUCUCUCAACCAGCUUCAUGAGGUAGUCACCUGGAAUGCAUUUCAAUUAACAGGUGUGUCAUGUUAAGUUAAUUUGUGGAAUUUCUUUCCUUCUUAUUGCGUUUGAGCCAAUCAGUUGAGUUGUGACAAGGUAGGGGUGGUAUACAGAAGAUAACCCUAUUUGGUAAAAGACCAAGUCCAUAUUAUGGUAAGAACAGCUCAAAUAAGCAAAGAGAAACGACAGUCCAUCAUUACUUUAAGACAUGAAGGUCAGUCAAUACGGAAAAUUUCAAGAACUUUGAAAGUUUCUUCAAGUGCAGUCGGAAAACCAUCAAACACUAUGAUGAAACUGGCUCUCAUGAGGACCGCCUUAGGAAAGGAAGACCCAGAGUUACCUCUGUUGCAGAGAAUAAGUUCAUUAGAGUUACCAGCCUUAGAUAUUGCAGCCCAAAUAAAUGCUUCACAGAGUUCAAGUAACACACAUCUCAACGUCAACUGUUCAGAGGAAAAGGCGUGAAUCAGGCUUUCACGGUCGAAUUGCUGCAAAGAAGCCACUACUAAAGGACACCAAUAAUAAGAAGAGACUUGCUUGGGCCAAGAAACACAAGCAAUGGACAUUAGAAAUGUGAUAUUUUUGGUUACAACCACUGUGUCAUGUGAGAUGCAGAGUAGGUGAUCGGAUGAUCUCUCCAUGUGUGGUUCCCACUGUGAAUUAAGGAGGAGGUGUGACAGGUGAUUUAUUUAGAAUUCAAGGCACACUUAACCAGCAUGGCUACCAAAGCAUUCUGCAGCUAUAUGCAAUCCUAUCUGGUUUGCACUUAGUGCGACUAUCAUUUGUUUUUCAACAGGACAAUGACCCAACAUACCUCCAGGCUGUGUAAGGGCUAUUUGACCAAGAAGGAGAGUGAUGGAGUGCUGUAUCAGUUGAGAUAGUUUGGGAUGAGUUGGACCGCAGAGUGAAGGAAAAACAGCCAACAAGUGCUCAGCAUAUGUGGGAACUCCUUCAAGACGGUUGGAAAAGUAUUCCAGGGGCAGAGAGAAUAAAAUACAUGACUGCACUUAAAUUGCGAAUGGAGGAUGUUUUUCCCAUGUUUCAUUUUGAUGCCAGCCAGGUGAUAUUAGCUAUGCAUCUGGCACUUACCGGCUCUUCAAAUUGCCCAAAAAGCUUGAGAUGUCAAUCGCAAUAGUGACCUACAAGGGAAGUGUGUCUGACUACCCUUGUCAGCUGUAGUUUGACUCCUCCCACUGCUUCAAGAAAAACGCUGCAGGUCGACGGGGUUAUCUUCCAGUGCUCUCUCUUCUCCCCAGACUUCUGCAUCCAGAAGUAUGGCCACCUCAGCCCUUUCUUGCUGUGCUGCUCGGUGAAUCAAUGCUCCAAGACAGGCAAAGCCCCAGUAGCCUGUGGAGAGACCUAACUUAACGACACCACAUCCAUGAUGGAACCUCCUUAGAGAGCCGGGGUGUAUGGCCCAAUAAUCUUGCCUUCCUGCUGAAGUGUGCAUUCACUACUUCCCACAAAUCUAAAAGCAUUGGAUUGUUGUUUGCCUGGGAUAUUGGGAGUUUCCAUAUUUAUAGUGAUAAUUCCCAAGAAGCCGGUGUUUGUUGGAUAUGUUGGCAUGGUGUUGUUAGGCCCGAGACCAAAUCGAGGACUGGCAAACCAUGCCAAUAUAUCCAACAAACACCAGCUUCGAGGGCAUUAUCACUUGUACACGGGUUACCAACAUAUUCAAAUAAUGAUCGACAUUUUCAUUAAAAACGUUAUUUUUAUACAUUUAUUUGUACAAUUUCAUCCUUCCACAAGAUAUAGUCCCUACACAAAUCUAGGGUUGCUCGAGACGCGACCAAGUCGCUCGUUCUUUUUGUUUUGUAUCUAUCGACGCGACCCAACGAGAUAAUGAGGC